GUCCCCGUAGCUCAGUUGGACUAGAGCAACAGCCUUCUAAGCUGUGGGUCGCAGGUUCGAAUCCUGCCGGGGACGCCA
rnacentral:tRNA from 1 species